AGUUAAAACUUUCAACAACGGAUCUCUUGGUUCUGGCAUCGAUGAAGAACGCAGCGAAAUGCGAUAAGUAAUGUGAAUUGCAGAAUUCAGUGAAUCAUCGAAUCUUUGAACGCACAUUGCGCCCAUUAGUAUUCUAGUGGGCAUGCCUAUUCGAGCGUCAUUUCAACCCUUAAGC
rnacentral:rRNA from 1 species